ensembl:lncRNA
AUGUACUUAACGCUGUCGGGGGGCGGUUGGAUAGUGCACAAGAGAGUCUAUACAUAUCCACACAGAUCGAUGUAUUGCAGGGGUCGCAACGUGAUGAAGGGGAUUGGCGAGGGUUUUCAGGACCCCCCGGCUGUGGCAGGGGUCCCUAUAGAGUCGAAUAUACAGGUCGGUGGUGGUGGCGGUGGUGGUGGCGUGGGGGGUGGCGGUGGUGGCGGUGAUGGCGAUGCUGUUGUUGACGAUGAUGGCGAUGCUGUUGUUGACGAUGAUGACAGUGGUGACGGUAGCGGUGUGGGGGAUGGAGGUGCUGGUGAUGGUGCUGCUUAUGAUGGUACACAGGUGUCUGCUGUAACGGGGGAAGAUAAUGGCGAGUUGCAUACCAGAUUAUUUCCCCGGUUUAACGGCUUUGAGGUUAGACAGUCCAUUGACCUGAGAAGUAUAUCCCUUGCAAAUUUACAGGAGGUCCCUGAUUUGAUCAGGGAGAGACUGUCAGAUGCCAUAACAAGCUGCUCGCAAAGUGCAGCCGAUGGUAGUGUCUUAAACGUGGUGCUGAGAGGUCCUUCAUUGGCCUCUGAUGUACAGGCUGUGCUCGUAACGGGUGACGAUUACAAUGAGGAUUUGUUUAUGGAGCAUAUUAGCCAAGUCAUACAGAGCAACGACACAGGUCUGACGGAUGAUGUGCUAGAGCUGGUGGUCACAGGGGUCCACAACAAACGGGGUGGGGCACGUUUGAAGUUAAAAAACAUUCCCUAUGAUGAAAUCAUACACAAGAAGAAGCUAAGUCUCUACACCCCGAGUAAUACUCAUAACAAUUUGUGUUUCUCACUAUGCAUGACACAUUUUCUGCAUGAAGGGGUAACCGGGGGUGACACAGCGUCCGAAGAGACUAAUUUGGAGGCGGCUCGCAAAUUACACAGUGAUCUGGGGUUUGACCCGGAUCACUCUGUGGGUUUCUCGGAUGUUUCCAAAUUUGAGAGACAUCUAGAUGUUAAAAUCCUGAUAUUUCAUCAUAAUGACACAUUCAGGAAGCUGGAGAUGUUCCAGACACAUACAGCCCAGCAUCCUAAAACAGUAUGGCUGUACCUCCAUGAUAGCCACUAUCAUUGCAUAGAGAACAGAACGGCAUUCUUUGGUACGGGAUAUGUGUGUGAAUAUUGCUACAAGGCCCAUGAGGGAAUUCUAUUACACAAAUGCCCGAUCCAUUGCAAUGUGUGUCUGACAGUGUGCGAUAGACUAUCAGGUCGUACGAUAAAGUGCAAGGACUGUAGUCGUAUAUGCCGCUCGCUGGUCUGCUACAACACACACAAGAAGCAUUCUGCCAAACAUGACAUGAUACCUUGUGAAAAGCUCAAAUACUGCGAUCGUUGUUGUAGACAGUAUAUCAUAUCGAAGAAGAAGAAGAAGAAGAAGGGGGUGGGGGAGGAGGAGGAGGAGGAGGAUGAGGAAGGUGACGAUAAUGGUCACGUAUGCAGCGAUGCAAAGUGUCGUAACUGUGGGGAGCCGUUGCCCGAUGAUGGAGUACAUGAUUGCUAUAUCCAGCCGUACGACAAGAAAAAGAAAAAGAAACGCGGGGGUGGUCGCGGGGGUCCAUCGGAUGACUCUGAUGUCGACGUUCCGCCUAAUAAAUACAUAUACUAUGAUUUCGAAACGCGCAUGCAUGAUGGUCGUCACGAAGCAAACUGUGUGGCAGCUACAACGUCUGAAGGCAUAGAAUGGUAUGCUACAGGUCUAGGUUGUGUAAGCGAGUUUGUGAAACGCUACAGAAGAGGGGAGUAUACGUUGUAUACAUUUGUGGCACACAACGCGUCGGGCUUUGAUAACUAUAUCGUCCUGGAUUACAUGACCAAGCAGGGUAUUAAACCCACUUUAGUCAUGAAGGGUAGCAGAGUCAUUUUGAUGCGUGAUGACGCCUACCAUCAGAGAUGGGUCGACUCGUUUAGCUUCUUGCCCAUGCGAUUGGCUAAUGCACCGGCGGCGUUGGAUUUUGAUGAUAUGUUAAAAGGUUAUUUUCCUCAUAAAUUCAACACACGGGCCAACGAGUCUUAUGUCGGUGCCUACCCUGAGAUCUCAUAUUAUGGAUAUGAUUCCAUGACUAGCGAUCAAAAGACAGAUUUCGCUAUUUGGUACAGAUCUGUGCGACACAAAAAAUUUGACUUUCAGAAACAGCUGCGUCUCUACUGUGUCAACGACGUGAGGAUCCUAUACAAGGCGUGUAGGAUCUACAGGGAAAAUUUCAUAGAGUGUGCCACUAUAGACCCCUUGUCCUAUGCCACUCUGGCUUCGGCGUGCAUGGCCACCUUCAAAAAGUCGUUCUUGAAGAAAAACGUCCUGGCACUGACCUACGAGGGUGUCUAUCAGAAAAAGCAAAAGUCGUUCUCAUGCGCAUCCAUCCAGUGGCUUGAAUAUCUAUCCCACUCCAAUAACAUGGAGAUUCGGCAUGCUCUCAACCAUGGAGAGGCUAAAUAUGGACCAUUCUUCCUAGACGGACAUGCACCGUCUAUAAACACAGCCUAUGAAUUUGCAGGAUGCUUUUAUCAUGGGUGUGAACAGUGCUACAACGCUGGCCACCAGAACCCUGUCCUCAGGAAGACCUAUGGCGAAUUGUGGGUGCAGUUUCACCUCAAAGUCGAGGCUCUCAAAAGAGAUCAUGGUUUAAGAGUUGUGGUCAUGUGGGAGUGUGAGUGGCACCGUCUGAAAAAGACCAAUGCUGCAGUGCAGGCAUUCUUGGCUACUCUGAAAAUACAACCUAGGAUUGAUCCUCGCGACUCUCUCUAUGGGGGUCGCACCAACGCCAUCAAAAUGUAUCACAAGGCCGUGCCCGGUGAGAAAAUACGCUACUAUGACUUUACCUCUCUCUACCCCACAGUACAGGCCCGCUGUCCUUAUCCUGUAGAGCACCCCCAGAUCAUUUUCAGGAAUUUUGGUCCUUUGGAUGGGUAUUUCGGCAUCAUCAAAUGCACCGUGUUGCCCCCCAGAGGUCUUUACCAUCCUGUGCUCCCCUAUAGGUGUCAUGGAAAGCUGAUGUUUCCCCUCUGUGGUACAUGUGCCACUGAGCUCAAUCAGACAGACGCGUGUCAUCACAGCAACGAUGAACGGGCUCUGACAGGCACCUGGGUGACUUUUGAGCUACAAAAAGCGGUCGAAAUGGGUUACGUGUUAAUCCAAAUGCAUGAGGUGUGGCACUACCCCGAACGGUCAGAGACUCUGUUUAAAGGGUAUGUCAAAACGUUUCUCAAGCGUAAACAGGAGGCUUCAGGAUACCCCAGCACAGUGGACACUGCGGAGAAACAGCGAGCGUAUGUGCAAAACUAUCUGGCAAAGGAGGGUAUACAGUUGGAUCACAACAACAUGUGUGUGAACAAGGCCAUGCGUAAUUGCAACAAGUUGAUUCUAAACAGUCUGUGGGGUCGCUUUUCACUACGCCCAGACCUACCCACGUGUGAGCUAAUUUCUGACCCUGAAAGGUUCACUCAGCUCAUGUUUAGCGAUAGCUAUCACAUUAGCCACUUUUGCUUUAUCUCUGAUGAAGUAGCCCUUGUACAAUGGAAACAUGUAGAUGCACGUCUCGCGAGGGCACGGGAUGUCAACGUGAUUGUGGGGGCUGUAACCACCGCCCAUGCCAGGCUCAUGCUCUACGAUCUUCUAGACAAACUACAGGAACGUGUCCUCUAUUGUGACACAGACAGCAUCAUUUUUGUUUCUAAGGAGGGUGACUGGGUACCCCCUUUAGGCCCUUAUCUGGGCGACUUGACCGACGAGCUAAAUGAUGGUGAUCUGUAUGGUACCGAGCAGGAGGAUUACAUUAGCGAAUAUGUCUCAACAGGUCCUAAAAGCUAUGCAUACCACACCCGUGCCCACAAGUCUGUCGUCAAAAGCAAAGGGGUGACUUUAAAUGCAGCAAAUGCUGAAGUGGUCACCCAGCAGACCCUGAAAUGUCUAUUGGAUGAUUUUGUCAACCAUCGGCCUCAAACCCUCGACAUCACCACCACCGUAGAUACCAUCCGGCGAGAUAAGACUAGGUUUCUGCUUAAAAAUGCUACGGUAGUUAAACGGCUUAGGGUGGUUUACAACAAACGCAGGGUCUUCCCCGACUACACCACGCUUCCUUACGGCUAUUAACCAUUUUGUUUAUUGUUUUUUUCUCUUUUUCACAUGAUCCAUGUUUUUUCUUCUUCUUCUUUUUACAUAUUGUUUUCAAAUGAUCCAUGUUUUUAUUCAUUUUAUAUUUUUUGAGGGGGGUAUGCAUAUUGUGUUAAGAAUUGUUUCAUGUUCAUGCUAUUAGCUAUUUUGUUUUUAUUGUUUUCAAAUGAUCCAUGUUUUUAUUCAUUUUAUAUUUUUUGAGGGGGGUAUGCAUAUUGUGUUAAGAAUUGUUUCAUGUUCAUGCUAUUAGCUAUUUUGUUUUUAUUGUUUUCAAAUGAUCCAUGUUCUCUUCUUUCAUCUUUUUUUUUAUUUUAAUCAUUUUUUUUUUUUUAUGCAUCAUGUAUUAAUGAUGAAUGACUGUGCUAAUAAUCAUGUCGGUGUUAAUAAAGAAUGUUAACUGUCAAAUGUUUCACGGUUCUAUGGUCACAAUACAUCCGUCCAUCAGAGGGGGUGCACGCAGACCGCAGAGAUGGCUGCUGUACACACAACGUUCGACCCUAGACUUCAACACCCGUUCAGCAUGGUAGUAUCGGGACCUUCAAACAGCGGCAAAACCUACUUUGUCAAAACAGUCAUUGAAAAUAUGGAUCGGUUAUUCUCAGAAAAGAUUGAAAAUAUAGUAUAUGUUUACUCAUGCUGGCAGCCCAUAUAUGAUGAUUUGCUUAAAAUAAGGAACAUUCACUUUGUAGAAGGGAUCCCCAAAUCUCUAUGUGAUGAUGCAAUCUUACCAGUCCAUACUAGAAAUCUGCUCAUUAUUGACGACUUGAUGAACGAUGCAUGCAAUAAUAUAGAGGUUCAGUACGUUUUUACCAAAUAUGUACACCAUCGUAAUCUCAGCUGUAUGUAUCUGGUUCAGAAUUUAUUUAUGCAGGGUAAAACCAGCCGUACAAUUAGUCUAAAUACCAAUUACAUGGUUUUGUUUAAGAACCCUCGUGACAAAUAUCAGAUUAUGUUGAUAGCCAAACAGAUGUUUCCAUGCAAGACAAAAUAUUUUCUAGAAGCCUUCAACGACGCUACCGACAUGCCUUACGGCUAUCUGCUUGUAGACUUUAAAGCCAUGACCCCGGACAACAUGAGACUUAGAACAGAUAUAUUGUCAGACCGACAUGUUGUAUACACUCAGAGAGUCAAAGUGAUUAGCCCAAAAGACCAUGUCCUCACGUAUAAGUAGAAACCGUGAGCGUCUUAAGCAGCUAUAUAGCGCCCCUCCGGCUCAGCGUAAAGUUAUCCUCAGGACAGCCAACGCCGACUUUAUCAACUCGCUGUGUGAAAUAGCCUUGAACAUUUUACAGGGCAAAAUACCUCUGACUCCACGCCAGCAUACGAAAUUGCGUAGACGAAAGAAGGACCUCAGAAUACUCGCCAAUAAAAAUGUACUAAUAUCUAGAAAGAAAAGACUAAUCAAUCAGACUGGUGGAUUUCUUCUACCCCUACUGUCUGUGGCCAUACCGUUGUUUACAAGCCUGUUCUCAAGAGGCGGGUGAUUAUAAUGGAUCAUACGCACAAGAUGUAUCUAGUUCCUCAACAUCAACUCGAUGCCUUAAAGCAUACCCAACCCAGGGAUUCUGUUAGACAGACUGCUGAAAAUGAGCUGGAUAAGGCCAUUGCGAUGGUGUUGAACACUCCCGAUACAGACCUAUAUGAAAAAGCGGCCAGGUACGGAGCGGUCCUACAGCGUUAUCUAUCCAUGAUAAAACAAGGGCAACGCGAACACGGAGAAUUAACUCUGUCACUUGCUGAGGGGGACCCAGUUCAUACGCCUAUGUCGGCCCGGCAUGGUGUUGAUGACGAUGAUGGCACCGGCGAUCAUAUUUAUAAGGAUAUAAUGAAACAUAUACCCGUCAGAAGCAAGAGCAAUACCAGACAUAUCCUGGACUCUUUAAAGAAAUCUAAAAAUGUUUCAUGGACGGACAAGGGGGAGAUCAUAUUACGAGGCGAAACUAUUAAGGGGUCCCAUAUGUUUGAUUUGUUAAAGAAUGUUACCGCCCCUUACCAUGUUGUCGAAUCUGUCAGACCACAGGGCUGGAAUGUAUUUCUGAAAUCUUUAGCCAGUAACAAUAUACCACUAUCGUCUAUCCCUAAUAAGCAGCUCAGACAAACUGUAAACAUGUAUAAGCAUAGUCCCGUCACUACGGACGACAAUGCGAUGGCCUCCGUCCCUGUCUCGUCUGAUAAAAGGAGGAAACGCAAGCAGCCAUUGUCAUCUAAUACUUCCCCUGGAAUGCAUAUGGCCGGGUGGUUACCAUUUUAAAUCAUGUAUCUAAAUGUAUGUUUUAUCCGUAAAAAAAAAAUAAAAGAAAACAGUACGACUAAAAUGUAAUCAAAAUAUUGUAUUUUUUAUUAUCAAUACAGAAAACAAACAUAACAACACGUGUUACAUGUUACAUCCGCAUACACAUGACUGCACACACGUCAUAUCAUGUUCAUUACAGACAUUAGGUUGUACACGGUUAACAAAGUCAUAAACCUUUUCAUCGUUACGGGGUAAAUUAUCCCCAUACAUUUUCAAAAACUUAUGAUAGGAUACCCCUUUUUGCAUAUUAAACAAGAAAAAAACACAAUGAUGCCCACAUGCUGUACUUGACGGAUCCUGGACCUGUUGUGUAGAAUGAACAACAUCUAUACAGUGCUGAUCGAGAAAACGCUGUAUGGUCUCAGGAAACUCAGAGUAUGAGGGAGGGUUACCGUAGGAGUCGAAAAAGUACCCCUGUUUCUCAUCUGUAAUAUAGAUGGCUAGCCAAUGUGCACCGGCCAUAUGCGAAGGUUCGGUGUUGACCACCAUCAUUACAGGUCUCUGAUGAAUUUCCCGGGGUAGGUGAUUACACGGUAACGCGCCGAGAAAAUAUGCCUUGUGGGCCAUUUUCUGACACACUGCUGUUAGCUCUAUAGUAUUCAUAUCGCACCGACUUUUUAGUAAUAGUCCAACAGCACCUGCCGUCUAUUUGAUAUUUCUAUAACAGAAUCAUAAACUGCAUAACAUAUCAAAUUGACCGUUGUAGCCAGUGCUGCUCUGAAUCGUGCCUCUAGCCUCACAUUCCCUGUUCUGACUAGCGAUACAUGUUGCCCACAGCCCUCAUCUGCCUCAAGGUUGAAACAAAAUAAUGCAUACCCGUCCCCGAAUUCCUUAUGGUUAAUAGCUAUUUCUCUAUCUUUGAGCUGACGACCUGUAGCCUGAAUGAGCUGGAAAUAUUCUCGAGUAUAGAGGCCAUUUCUAAAGUCAGGCUGAAAGGGCUUAGAGGGGUAUGCUUGACCGUCGCAAUAUAGGGAUAAGAACUCAAUGCCGAAAUGUUGGAAUCUGAAAGGAUUCCUGGCAUAGCUCCCUGUGAAUGCUUCGUUAUUCACAAAACCUAUAAUAACCAUCUUGGGUAUUUGUCCUAGAAAUAGAUUAUCCUGUGUGCAUAUACGGCUGCCCGCUGCGAUGGAUACAUUCUUUAGACAUACCCUAUCAACAGGGUAUUUAACGUUAGCCUGGUUUAACGCACGGGCAUGUGCCAGCUUGACGCCUGGUGCUACCGAUACCUUUUUAAUGAAAACAUUUGCAGACACUAUAGAGACACGGUAUUCCACAGCACCAUCGGACAUGAGACAGAAAUCAUUUUUUGCUCUAAUGAAUCUCAUACGGAGAUCAACUCCGUUAAUCAUCAGUUUCUCCUGAAAAAACAUAUCGACGUGUAUAGGGGAUAUCAGCUCCGCUAUACGACUUCGCCCCGUAUAUUCACUCCUUGUCGUUAAGCCUAGAUUGAGACCUCCAGGAAGAAUCUCGUCCAUAUGUCCGUGUGUGUCUUUCUGGAAUAGACCACAACCAAAUUGGGUGUCUAAUGUUCCGUUUCCAUAGUUUAGCAGGCAUUCUAUUAUGCCUCUGUACGGAUAGGUGUUUGACGACUGGGUGAUAAGCCUAUCACCCAGAGUAAUAUCUACUUGGGAGAAUAACGUGCAUCCUGGAUAGUUAAUCAGUCCAACGGGUGCCGCCGGCGCCAAGUCUGUUCCAUCAGGAUUAGUAAUCUUGAUCCUCAGGUGUAAAUACGUAUUGUUUAGAUCCAUAUAGUCUUCGCUACUGGCCGAUACAAAGAACUCUAUGGGGCCACCAUCUGUUAGCGCUGAUAGCGGGGGUAUUUCAAUAUAUGUACUUUUUUCUAUCGAUGUCUGCGUCAUAGGCAGGGAGAAGAGAUCCAGUUCGCUCUUAAUGCACUCGUCUGACAUGUUAUGUAGCAACGCCAUUGUUAUUCAACCCUCCUGCUAUACUAGAUGAAUAUAUCGUUAGCCGUCCCUCUAAAACGACGGGCUGCCCCCUUCCUGAUCCUUUUAGGUUUGGCUCUCUUUUUGAUGGAUGCCAAUCUUUUAUUCUGUUUACGACGACGUGCUGGUGCACGGGUACGCCCACAUCCUAUAGGCGGAUACUUUGUUGCUCUUCGGGCAUAUACCCUCAUGCCUGCCCCCUGCUGUUUGGGCGUAGAUGCAGCAUGGGCUAUGUUGGUCAUAACGUCGCCUAUAAUAUGUUUAGCAGCAGUCUUCAGAUGAGGCUUUGCUAUACUAACCCCUCGCCUAAAUAACGGAAUAGCCAUUCUAAAGAGGCUACGGAACAUCCCUCCGAUGCCAGCACCAUAUUGUGUGCUGCUACCCUCAUAGCCAGGUAGCCCACUCCCUGCUUGGUUUAAAUAAUACUGAACAUAUUUGUUCUCGUCGUAAGGCGGUCUAUACCCCCUCAUCCCUAUAGAUGGGGCUAUGAAUGCUACUGUUUUACAGGUCUAAAAUGCAGCUUGAGUAUCACUUUGCCGUAUGUGAAUUUUAUAUUUGUAUUCUGGUCAGACUUUAGAUCGAUUUCAAUAUCUCCAAGAGGGUCUCGGGCUACGUG